rnacentral:rRNA from 1 species
GACGAACGCUGGCGGCGUGCUUAACACAUGCAAGUCGAACGGAAAGGCCCUGCUUUUGUGGGGUGCUCGCGUGGCGAACGGGUGAGUAACACGUGAGUAACCUGCCCUUGACUUUGGGAUAACUUCAGGAAACUGGGGCUAAUACCUGAUAGGAGCUCCUGCUGCAUGGGGGGGGUUGGAAAGUUUCGGCGGUUGGGGAUGGACUCGCGGCUAAUCAGCUUGUUGGUGGGGUAGUGGCUUACCAAGGCUUUGACGGGUAGCCGGCCUGAGAGGGUGAACGGCCACAUUGGGACUGAGAUACGGCCCAGACUCCUACGGGAGGCAGCAGGGGGGAAUAUUGCACAAUGGGCGGAAGCCUGAUGCGGCAACGCCGCGUGCGGGAUGACGGCCUUCGGGGUGUAAACCGCUUUCGCCUGUGACGAAGCGUGAGUGACGGUAAUGGGUAAAGAAGCACCGGCUAACUACGUG